rnacentral:rRNA from 1 species
ACUCAAAGGAAUUGACGGGGGCCCGCACAAGCAGCGGAGCAUGUGGUUUAAUUCGAAGCAACGCGAAGAACCUUACCAGGACUUGACAUCCCGCGAACCGGUAUGAAAAUACUGAGUGCCUUUCGGGGAACGCGGAGACAGGUGGUGCAUGGUUGUCGUCAGCUCGUGUCGUGAGAUGUUGGGUUAAGUCCCGCAACGAGCGCAACCCCUAUACUUAGUUACCAGCGCGUAAAGGCGGGGACUCUGAGUAGACUGCCGUGGACAACACGGAGGAAGGCGGGGACGACGUCAAAUCAUCAUGCCCCUUAUGUUCUGGGCUACACACGUGCUACAAUGGCUGACACAAAGGGAAGCGAAGGCGUAAGCCGGAGCAAAUCUCAAAAAAGCAGUCUUAGUUCGGAUUGUGGGCUGCAACCCGCCCACAUGAAGUCGGAGUUGCUAGUAAUCGCGAAUCAGAAUGUCGCGGUGAAUGCGUUCCCGGGCCUUGUACACACCGCCCGU